UUUUGUGGAGGGUUCGAUUCUGGCUCAGGAUGAACGCUGGCGGCGUGCUUAACACAUGCAAGUCGAACGGGAUCCAUCAGGCUUUGCUUGGUGGUGAGAGUGGCGAACGGGUGAGUAAUGCGUGACCGACCUGCCCCAUACACCGGAAUAGCUCCUGGAAACGGGUGGUAAUGCCGGAUGCUCCGACUCCUCGCAUGGGGUGUCGGGAAAGAUUUCAUCGGUAUGGGAUGGGGUCGCGUCCUAUCAGGUAGUCGGCGGGGUAACGGCCCACCGAGCCUACGACGGGUAGCCGGCCUGAGAGGGCGACCGGCCACAUUGGGACUGAGAUACGGCCCAGACUCCUACGGGAGGCAGCAGUGGGGAAUAUUGCACAAUGGGCGCAAGCCUGAUGCAGCGACGCCGCGUGCGGGAUGACGGCCUUCGGGUUGUAAACCGCUUUUGAUCGGGAGCAAGCCUUCGGGUGAGUGUACCUUUCGAAUAAGCAACGGCUAACUACGUGCCAGCAGCCGCGGUAAUACGUAGGGUGCAAGCGUUAUCCGGAAUUAUUG
rnacentral:rRNA from 1 species